rnacentral:misc_RNA from 1 species
AAGUCGUAACAAGGUUUUUGUAGGUGAACCUGCGGAAGGAUCAUUAUCACGUACCCACGUGUAAACCAUUGCGAACUGUUUGUACCUUUGGAGGAAAUGGGGUAGUUGUUGGAGCGAGCACAUGGGAGCUCUUGAGAUUUCUAGCUCUCGCUCGAUUCAACCGUACCUGUUUUCUCUGAAGUGUAUUUUAUAAAUCACUUUCAUUAACCCUUUAAACCACAACUUAAAACUUGGAACUAAUCUAUUUCUUACUCUUCAGAGAAGAAAUUUUAUUUACGAAACUCAAGAACAACUCUUAGCAACGGAUAUAUUGGUUCUC